rnacentral:rRNA from 1 species
UAGGGAAUCUUCCACAAUGGGCGCAAGCCUGAUGGAGCAACACCGCGUGAGUGAAGAAGGGUUUCGGCUCGUAAAGCUCUGUUGUUAAAGAAGAACACGUAUGAGAGUAACUGUUCAUACGUUGACGGUAUUUAACCAGAAAGUCACGGGUAACUACGUGCCAA